GUGAUUAUUUUAAUAUUCUGUGAAUGGAUCAACAUUAGGGCUUUUUGUUUGAUAAUUAGGGCUUUGUCAGAUCUGUGAAUGGACCAAUUUUAAUUUCUUGCAUUAGGGCUUUGUCAGAUCUGUGAUAAUACUUUUAGAUCUGUUUUAAUACUUUUAGAUCUGUGAUAAUACUUUUAGAUCUGUGAAUCUGUGAUAAUUCUUUUAGAUCUAUGAUAAUACUUUUAGAUGUGUGAUAAUACUUUUAGAUCUGUGUUGGUUUUGUGAUUAUUUUAAUGUUCUGUGAGAUUUAUAGAGAAAACGUAAUUUCUGUUUCAUAAUUAGGGCUUUUUGUUUGAUCUAAUCGGUUACUGAAUUAUGGUUUUGUUUGUAAGGAGAAUCCGAUUGCAAGCUCACCGGCGAAGGAAGCAUACAGGAAUCGGCUGGCGGACAGCCUCAACAUGGGAGUUAUGGAUUGGUUUGAUCCAAUUGCUGAUUCGACUACUAGCCAUCUCGAUCUGAUUCCCCACAUGGUUUAGGGGAGAAGUUUAAAACAACAGGACUAUGGAAGGAUAUACGGUGCUACAUUGACAGUCAAGU